CCACAAUCGUGUUUUCAAUUCUACAGCGUCAGCUUCCCCUAUGAGGAAGAGAAAAGAAAUCCCCUCUCUUUUGAAAUGCAAGUCAUUUGUAACGUUACGUACAAAGGACUUUGGUGCCAUGAUCUUUAGCUUUUGCCCUGCAUUUAAUACUAAAGAUCACUCAACAACGAUGAAACCAGCUGGAUGAAAUUCCUCUCCUGCAAGACAUGAAGGCCAAUGACGACAGGGCCAAGUUUUAAGCGGGUGCCUGGACUUAACAGCUUCAAUAUUGGAUUUGCUCUUGUAAAGAACAGGCUGCUUUUAAGACUGACCUGGAAAAUAGAUAUUCAAGGAGCACAUAUGCUAAAGGAGCUGAGGCACUUCUUUUUGCUUUCAAGACCAGAAGGUUGCACAUAAAACACAUUCAAAUACUCAUGACUACAACUUCAAUGCUUUUUUAGACAGUGAUGAUUCUGAACUCAAGACCAGCCUGUUGUAAACAAAUAGAUCGAUGUGAAAGCCUAUUCAUUUGUUCAACUGAUGCACCUUUGAAAAAAAAAUAAAAUGUAGAAGAAUAAAAUUGAACUUUCUUUCAAGACCAAAUAGAGAAGAUACUGAGACAUCAACCUUCCCUCUAGAAACAUCUCUGUUUAAUUCCAAUUCAACAAAAUGUAACAUGGUAUAUCAUGGUCCUGCCUUCGGGAUAGGGAGGAGAAUCGGAAAAAGGUAAAACUCGUGGGUUGAGAUAAGAACAGGUUAAUAAGUGAAAGAAAAUAAAAUAUACUGAUAAUACUA